rnacentral:rRNA from 1 species
GGCAGGCGGGUGCGUAACAUGUGGGAAUCUGCCUUUUGGUUCGGAACAACAUGGGGAAACCUGUGCUAAUACCGGAUAAGUCCUCACGGAGAAAGAUUUAUCGCCGAAAGAUGAGCCCGCACUAGAUUAGCUUGUUGGUAAGGUAAAAGCUUACCAAGGCAACGAUCUAUAGCUGAUUUGAGAGGAUGAUCAGCCACACUGGGACUGAGACACGGCCCAGACUCCUACGGGAGGCAGCAGUGGGGAAUCUUGCACAAUGGAGGAAACUCUGAUGCAGCGAUGCCGCGUGAGUGAAGAAGGCCUUUGGGUUGUAAAGCUCUUUUGUCGGGAAAGAUAAUGACUGUACCCGAAGAAUAAGGUCCGGCUAACUUCGUGCCAGCAGCCGCGGUAAUACGAAGGGACCUAGCGUAAUUCGGAAUUACUGGGCGUAAAGCGCGCGUAGGCGGUUAAGUAAGUUAAUUGUGAAAGCCCAAAGCUCAACUUUGGAAUUGCAAUUAAAACUACUUAGCUAGAGUUUAUCAGAGGAAAGCGGAAUACAUAGUGUAGAGGUGAAAUUCGUAGAUAUUAUGUAGAACACCAGUUGCGAAGGCGGCUUUCUGGGGUAAUACUGACGCUGAGGUGCGAAAGUAUGGGUAGCGAAGAGGAUUAGAUACCCUCGUAGUCCAUACUGUAAACGAUGAUUGUUAGAUGUUGGAAAUUUAUUUUCAGUAUCACAGCUAACGCGUUAAACAAUC